GCGAAAUGAUACACCACAAUACACAUGGCAUAUUUAAUACCAUUCCUCCAUCUGAAGACAACGGAGCGGAGGAGGAGGGCAGAGCCUCUUGCUUGGUGUCAACGUUGCGAGCGCUGAUAAAAAUCAAACCGCUCAGAACAGGAAGGAUAAAAACAGAAAGUUUGCAAUGAAAGAACAAAGCGCAAAAAAACUAAACAAACAAAAAAAAAUCAAAGAGCCGUGCCGUCUCAGUGCCUCUCUGCCACUGUCUGUGUCUAUAAAAGUGUUUCCACUGAAAAGCUUGAGGAUUACACAAGAGUGAAGCUCUCAAGAGCCAGACUGCUACGAACACAAACCAGGGUUGACAACAAAAGGACCCAAGCAUCUGCAUCUUUUCAGCUGCGCUAAUCCUCUGACCCAUUGCAUCUGAUCACUAAUAAACCAGUAGAAACAAUCAUAAGUCAAAGCUGGAGAAUUAACAAAUUCAAACUAGCUGAAAACUGAGCCACAACCAUCCAUAAAGAAUAUACUGUAAAACUCGCUUGCUCACGGCAGAUUUGGCAGAACAUGGAAAUAGUGGCAAGAAUUAUGAAGCAAGGAAGUGCGGUUUAACCUCGGUGAGAAAAACAAAACCGAUGGAAAACCAUUUGGGGGCCGAGAGCCGAAAAAAGAAGACUUCAGAAAAUAAACAAUAGAGGGGGGUGAGAGAAAACUUGCAGUGCAUCCAAAGUCCUGAUGGCUGUCUUCUACAUGGGGAUUGUGGAGACCCAACAAACAAAGAGAAGAAUGAGGCAGCAAAGCCCUUUGGCAAGCUGCGAGUAAUUAAAAAAGGCCUGUAAACGCCUUCCAGGAUAAAGGCCACUUCAAAAGACGGCCGGGCGAGCGAGCGCGCGAGGGGGAGCUGGGAAAAGCCAGAGGUCUGAGCACCUUUGGGAUCGGGGCUAAUGUGGACAAUACAGAGAUACUGUAGGGGGACACUCAAAGGCCUUUGUGUGGCCUCAAUCUAGCCAUAGUUCCUCUCCUGAGGUCUGAGGAGAGAACGCUACAACUGAUUAGAGAGAACGUACUGUCAGAGUGACCCUCUGGACCCUGGGGGGACGUUUGAGAGCUGAGAGAAGGUACACCGGACACCUUGAGCAGGAAGGACUUUCACUACAUAUUACAGGUGGUUGAGAAGAGAGUGUGACCCUGUAUGUGACGCGCUCAAACCCGCUUCCACCGUGGAUCCCGUUGUAAACGCCAAGUCGUCGGGGCACCUGCCCCAGCAAUUAUUACAAGUUCUAUUUUCUGGACAACCAGAAGUAAAGCCUCUGUAGAUUUUAUGGGACAUAUAUGCCCCCCUGUUCCACCCACACACCUCCUAUGUGUGAACUAUGGCAGUUUCUUUCCCCCCAGGCCCCACCAACCAGCUGUGCUCUGGAUUUGCCACCGAAACUAUAGAUGGUGUGUGUGCGAAAGCAACAAAAAGAAUGAGGGAGGGACACUCCGUGUGCCCGAAACAGACUGACUGUAGUCAUUAAGGAAGCAGGCAUAAAACUCUCAAGCCAUUUACUCAGUUAAUAAGCGACUUUGUCUAACAGUCAGUUUUGACAACGGCAAUAAAUUUGAAAUUUAUGUCAACAAAACAUAUGCUGAACACCUCAUUUCAAUGCCGGAGUGGCAUGCUGGCUCGUAAAUCAGCGCCGUGUUUGAAACCCGAGUAGAUUACGGGCCUGUGUUAUUGAGCUGUUAGAGACCGACCCAUAUAAAUCUGAACUCUCUCACUCGCCGGUGGACUCCAGGCCGUACAUCAUAGCCAGGAGUUACCCUGUCAGUGUGGCCCACGCGCAGCCCCCCCAGCAGGACGCAAACCUGAAAGAUACAAAGGUCCCUCGCCAAGGUCUCGAGAGAUACUACAUGAAGCAGAACUACAUAGUUUGAAAUAUUAUUCACCCUCUUGUCAUAUCAAACAUGUAUGACUUAUUUUCUUC